UUAAGUCUGGUCUCAUUAUAUAGUAUAGGUAUUUUCUCUCAUUUUUGAAGAAGUUUUAGAGUUAAUAGGGCUUUGGUCUGAGUCAGGAUUUUGAACUCUCUGGGAUCUUUGUCCUAGAUUUCAGCAUUGGCAGGUGGAACUCUCUGUAGCCAGCUGACAUUUUAGUGGCUACUUUAUCUAUCAUAUCUAAGGAAUGCAAUGUCUCCAGAGUUGCGAGGACAUCAAAUUCCUAUGGCCAAGCAUUCAGCGAGCUACACAGCUGACAUGCAUAUCAAUUUAGGCAGACGGCAUCAGCAAAACACAAUGAAGGCCUUUACUGUAAGCAAAUGCAGGACAUCCGUGUGACCUUCUCAACCACCCCAUCAUUCACACAGCCAUCUGAGAGCAUCUGAAGCAGAAGCUAUCAGUGUUUCCUUGAGACCUUGUAACAUAAAGCCCGUAUCAUGAAUUGAAGAGCUCAAGCUGUUGACUAUAAGGAUCCUGGCACUGCGACUAAAGAAUGGUACCUAGCGGUGUCCAUUCGUACGUUAACAUCUGCAGCCCUUGAAGGGGCCACUUGCUGCUGAAGGCAGGGAGCAGGCUAUUAUGGGCAAGUUACCCAGUCCUCUUUCAGCUGCUGUUUUGCUGAAGUGCCAGGUGCAAAAGAUGUGCUCAGAAAGGGACUAUAGAAAAAAGUAAUGGUCACAUCAGUUACAAACUGAUAAUUGCUCACUCGGUAUUUCCUCAACAUUCAGCCAUCUAGCUGUUUCAGUAAUCAUUUUCCUGUUCUUUCUUUCUAUUAGUGGUGGGCUAAAUAUUGGGAACUGUUUCCCAUCUUUAUAGCUCUAAACCUCUAUUGAAACCCUCAAGUGUAAUGUAUAGCAUUAGCUUCAGCGUGCAUGAUUAAUGUAGUCACAAGCUUAGCUCUGGAAGGAAUCCA
ensembl:lncRNA